rnacentral:tRNA from 1 species
GCUCGUUGCGCGGCCAGUUCAACGCGCUGGCGUUGGGCUUGUCGACAAAGGCAGCGUAGUUGUUGGCCAGUGCCAGGUCGGUGGCGGGCA